rnacentral:rRNA from 1 species
UACUCCUACGGAGGCAGCAGUGCGGAAUUUUAGAUAAUGGAGGGAACUCUGAUCUAGCGACGCCGCGUGCAGGAAGAAGGUCUUCGGAUUGUAAACUGCUGUGGUAAGGGAAAAAUGCUAUGUAGAGUGGAAAGCUACAUAGAGGGAUGGUACCUUACUAGAAAGCCCCGGCUAACUACGUGCCAGCAGCCGCGGUAAUA